GAUGAACGCUGGCGGCGUGCCUAAUACAUGCAAGUCGAGCGAACGGACGAGAAGCUUGCUUCUCUGAUGUUAGCGGCGGACGGGUGAGUAACACGUGGAUAACCUACCUAUAAGACUGGGAUAACUUCGGGAAACCGGAGCUAAUACCGGAUAAUAUUUUGAACCGCAUGGUUCAAAAGUGAAAGACGGUCUUGCUGUCACUUAUAGAUGGAUCCGCGCUGCAUUAGCUAGUUGGUAAGGUAACGGCUUACCAAGGCAACGAUGCAUAGCCGACCUGAGAGGGUGAUCGGCCACACUGGAACUGAGACACGGUCCAGACUCCUACGGGAGGCAGCAGUAGGGAAUCUUCCGCAAUGGGCGAAAGCCUGACGGAGCGACGCCGCGUGAGUGAUGAAGGUCUUCGGAUCGUAAAACUCUGUUAUUAGGGAAGAACAUAUGUGUAAGUAACUGUGCACAUCUUGACGGUACCUAAUCAGAAAGCCACGGCUAACUACGUGCCAGCAGCCGCGGUAAUACGUAGGUGGCAAGCGUUAUCCGGAAUUAUUGGGCGUAAAGCGCGCGUAGGCGGUUUUUUAAGUCUGAUGUGAAAGCCCACGGCUCAACCGUGGAGGGUCAUUGGAAACUGGAAAACUUGAGUGCAGAAGAGGAAAGUGGAAUUCCAUGUGUAGCGGUGAAAUGCGCAGAGAUAUGGAGGAACACCAGUGGCGAAGGCGACUUUCUGGUCUGUAACUGACGCUGAUGUGCGAAAGCGUGGGGAUCAAACAGGAUUAGAUACCCUGGUAGUCCACGCCGUAAACGAUGAGUGCUAAGUGUUAGGGGGUUUCCGCCCCUUAGUGCUGCAGCUAACGCAUUAAGCACUCCGCCUGGGGAGUACGACCGCAAGGUUGAAACUCAAAGGAAUUGACGGGGACCCGCACAAGCGGUGGAGCAUGUGGUUUAAUUCGAAGCAACGCGAAGAACCUUACCAAAUCUUGACAUCCUUUGACAACUCUAGAGAUAGAGCUUUCCCCUUCGGGGGACAAAGUGACAGGUGGUGCAUGGUUGUCGUCAGCUCGUGUCGUGAGAUGUUGGGUUAAGUCCCGCAACGAGCGCAACCCUUAAGCUUAGUUGCCAUCAUUAAGUUGGGCACUCUAAGUUGACUGCCGGUGACAAACCGGAGGAAGGUGGGGAUGACGUCAAAUCAUCAUGCCCCUUAUGAUUUGGGCUACACACGUGCUACAAUGGACAAUACAAAGGGCAGCGAAACCGCGAGGUCAAGCAAAUCCCAUAAAGUUGUUCUCAGUUCGGAUUGUAGUCUGCAACUCGACUACAUGAAGCUGGAAUCGCUAGUAAUCGUAGAUCAGCAUGCUACGGUGAAUACGUUCCCGGGUCU
rnacentral:rRNA from 1 species